AUUUGCUGGUCCAUCAAAGACUGCAGAAACUCUUUACAAGUAUAUAACUCCUGAGCAAGUACCUGUUCAAUAUGGGGGCCUCAGCGUCGAUUACUGUGAAUGCAAUCCUGAGUUCACUUCCAAUGAUCCAGUCACAGAGAUCAUUGUUAAACCAGCAACAAAGCAAACCGUGGAGAUCAUUGUAAAUGAGAAGUGCAUUAUUGUCUGGGAGCUACGUGUAUUGGGUUGGGAGGUGACAUAUAGUGCUGAAUAUGUGCCAAAUACAGACAGUGGAUACACUGUGAACAUACAGAAGCCUAGGAAGAUGACGACAGCUGAUGAACCUGUUGUUAGCAGCAGCUUCAAGAUCGUCGAGCUAGGUAAGAUACUGUUGACGAUUGACAACCCUACGUCAAAGAAGAAGAAGCUUCUGUACAGGUUCAAGGAUAAGCCCUAUUCUGAUUGAGUGAGAUACUGUAAUCAUUUCAUCAUGGGAUGACUGUGGAUAUGAAUUUUGACAUGCACACAUCUUUAUGUAUGAGGAGCUGGAAUUUGUGUUGAUUCACUUUGUUGGUUCAUGGAUAUUCUAGGUUGUUUUUUUCUUUUUUUAUGAAUUUCUUCUUUGUAGCUGAAAUUGUACUGUCCUUUCUUUGACCUGAGGGCAAAUGUUAGAAUUCUCCCUGUAACUUUGGUAUUUGGUUUGAUACUUGAACG
rnacentral:misc_RNA from 1 species